GAGACCGGCGCACGGGUGCGUAACGCGUAUGCAAUCUACCUUUUACAGAGGGAUAGCCCAGAGAAAUUUGGAUUAAUACCUCAUAGUAUAUAGACUCGGCAUCGAGAUUAUAUUAAAGUCACAACGGUAAAAGAUGAGCAUGCGUCCCAUUAGCUAGUUGGUAAGGUAACGGCUUACCAAGGCUACGAUGGGUAGGGGUCCUGAGAGGGAGAUCCCCCACACUGGUACUGAGACACGGACCAGACUCCUACGGGAGGCAGCAGUGAGGAAUAUUGGACAAUGGGCGCAAGCCUGAUCCAGCCAUGCCGCGUGCAGGAUGACGGUCCUAUGGAUUGUAAACUGCUUUUAUACGAGAAGAAACACUACUUCGUGAAGUAGCUUGACGGUAUCGUAAGAAUAAGGAUCGGCUAACUCCGUGCCAGCAGCCGCGGUAAUACGGAGGAUCCAAGCGUUAUCCGGAAUCAUUGGGUUUAAAGGGUCCGUAGGCGGUUUAAUAAGUCAGUGGUGAAAGCCCAUCGCUCAACGGUGGAACGGCCAUUGAUACUGUUAGACUUGAAUUAUUAGGAAGUAACUAGAAUAUGUAGUGUAGCGGUGAAAUGCUUAGAGAUUACAUGGAAUACCAAUUGCGAAGGCAGGUUACUACUAAUUGAUUGACGCUGAUGGACGAAAGCGUGGGUAGCGAACAGGAUUAGAUACCCUGGUAGUCCACGCCGUAAACGAUGGAUACUAGCUGUUGGGAGCAAUCUCAGUGGCUAAGCGAAAGUGAUAAGUAUCCCACCUGGGGAGUACGUUCGCAAGAAUGAAACUCAAAGGAAUUGACGGGGGCCCGCACAAGCGGUGGAGCAUGUGGUUUAAUUCGAUGAUACGCGAGGAACCUUACCAAGGCUUAAAUGUAGAUUGACCGGUUUGGAAACAGAUCUUUCGCAAGACAAUUUACAAGGUGCUGCAUGGUUGUCGUCAGCUCGUGCCGUGAGGUGUCAGGUUAAGUCCUAUAACGAGCGCAACCCCUGUUGUUAGUUGCCAGCGAGUCAUGUCGGGAACUCUAACAAGACUGCCAGUGCAAACUGUGAGGAAGGUGGGGAUGACGUCAAAUCAUCACGGCCCUUACGCCUUGGGCUACACACGUGCUACAAUGGCCGGUACAGAGAGCAGCCACUGGGCGACCAGGAGCGAAUCUAUAAAACCGGUCACAGUUCGGAUCGGAGUCUG
rnacentral:rRNA from 1 species